CUCAAGGCGACAUCCGGCGGAAGCGGCGCGGCCCCCGCUCCGGGCCGCGAUGGCGACGGGCAGGGGCAGGGGCAGGGGCAGGGGCAUGGGGAGCCUCCCGGGGCAGGGAAUGGCACUCGCUGGGGGAGCAGCCCGCGGGAUCAGGAACGGCACCGGGCCGGAGCUGCCCCGUCGCCGCCCCGCGGCUCAUCCCCGCUGACCCGGGUCAGCCCUGGGUCAGCUCAGUGCUGUGUUCAAACAGCUCAGUUGUGUUUCACCCCGACCGUCGCCUCUCGGGGAUUAUCUAGCUGCCUUAGAAGAGGUCUGUGAAAAGGCCAGAAGAACAUGUGCCUCAGUAGGGCUGGAAAUAUUACAUUUUCUUUUCAUGUGCUUCCCAGUCUGCCAGCAGUUCUUUUUUGUCUUCUUUUUCCUUUCUAUCCACUUCUAUGCAGUCAUAUCUUAAUUAAAGCUGUAUUAAACAUGGACAAAAAUAGUGAUUUACCUAUUUACUAGCUUAUUUUUCAUUACUGGAGGUCAUUCUCCAAGACAAGCAGCCUAACUGGUUGAGAACUUCCCGUAAUUGUAGCCUAUUUGCUUCUUCAAAGCCACCAAAAAGAAGCAAAAUGAAUAGCUAAAUGGCUUUAAGGAGUGGAAAAGAAGGGAGACUGCACAGGCAAAAGGAGACAAGAGGUAGAACAAAGUUGCCUGGAGGAAGCCUGAACACAGCCUGACCAAAUGCCACUGUUUGAUGCUUUGAAUUCUCUCUCCAGAUGGUGCACCUGCAGUGGCUCAGCCAUCUCAGCCAAGGCACAACUCAAGUCCCCAGCUGUUCAGUUCCUAACAAUAUAUUUUUUAAGCCUCAUUAUCCCAACCAAAAUUACUUUGCCCUAAUAUAAUACUACUGUACCAUAACAGCUUUAGCUGUAACUAGGAAGGAAAAAAAUUUCCAGUGAGAGCACAAGGAUCCAUGUUUGAGAUUUCCCUUGGAAAACACUUGGCAAAUUUGUUGUCCUCUGGAACAGCUCACUUUCAAGCAGCAGGGUAUAAUACAGAGAUGACCAUUUUUUUCCUGAAGAAACAUAAAAUACUAAAAUAAACAAAGACAGGGAUUUAAACAAGUACAGGGUUCUUCACCUGAAAACUAACAGGAAAUCCCAAAUAGCCUGGAAGUGUCCUACAUCUGUACAGAUGCUGUUGCUUUUUCAUGACAAGUGGCCUGUUGUCACUCCAGCUUUGCUACUGAUUUGGCUUUGUCAUGGCAGUGCAAGAGUAGCAGGCACUGUGUAAUGUACAGGAGCAAGAGCAGAACAAAAGACUGCUUUUCACAAACUACCUGUUUU